rnacentral:rRNA from 1 species
UUAUUGGAGAGUUUGAUCCUGGCUCAGGACGAACGCUGGCGGCGUGCCUAAUACAUGCAAGUCGAGCGAA